CGGGGUAUAGCGCAGUUGGCUAGCGCGCCUGCUUUGGGAGCAGGAGGUCCUGGGUUCAAAUCCCAGUACCCCGACCA
rnacentral:tRNA from 5 species